rnacentral:rRNA from 1 species
ACUCAAAUGAAUUGACGGGGGUCUAACACUAGUGGUGGAGCAUGUGGUUUAAUGCGAUAAUCCGCGCAAAACCUUACCAAUCUUUGACAUAUUCAAAUGAUUACUUAAAUUAAUAUCGUAUUCGAGUUUAUUGUUUGUUUACAGGUGUUGCACGACUGUCGUCAGCUCGUGUCGUGAGAUGUUUGGUUAAGUCCUAAAACGGGCGCAACUCUUACUUUUAGUUUUUAACGUAUUUAAAGUUUUUCUUUAAGUAGCUUUAAAAGUACGGUCAACGAUAAGUUGAAGGAAGGUAAGAACGAAGUCAAGUCAAUGUGACCCUUAUAGAUUGGGCUACUUCACGUGCUACAAUGAAAAUUACAAAAAGUGACGAAAAAGAAAUUUUAAGUUAAUCAACAAAAGUUUUCCCAGUUCGGAUUGUAGACUGCAACUCGUCUACAUGAAGUUGGAAUCACUAGUAAUCGCAAAUCAGCACGUUGCGGUGAAUAUGUAACUUGACCUUGUACACACCGCCCGU